GGGUUGUGAGGUUAAGCGACUAAGCGUACACGGUGGAUGCCCAGGCAGUCAGAGGCGAUGAAGGACGUGCUAAUCUGCGUAAAGCGACGGUAAGGUGAUAUGAACCGCUACAGCCGUCGAUGUCCGAAUGGGGAAACCCGGUGCACUCUGUGCAUCAUUGCAGCAUGAAUACAUAGUGCUGCAAGGCGAACCGGGGGAACUGAAACAUCUAAGUACCCCGAGGAAAAGAAAUCAACCGAGAUUCCCCCAGUAGCGGCGAGCGAACGGGGAGCAGCCCAGAGCCUGAAUCAGUUUGUGUGUUAGUGGAAGCGUCUGGAAAGUCGCAGGGUACAGGGUGAUACUCCCGUACACAAAA
rnacentral:rRNA from 1 species